GACGAACCGUGCGAACGUUAUUCGGAAUCACUGGGCUUAAAGCGCGUGUAGGCGGGGUGGCACGUCCGUCGCUGAAAUCCCCCGGCUCAACCGGGGAACGGGCGCGGAUACGACCAUCCUCGAGGGACGUAGGGGGACCUGGAACUUCCGGUGGAGCGGUGAAAUGCGUUGAGAUCGGAAGGAACGCCCGUGGCGAAGGCACUCUACUGGGCCACUACUGACACUGGAGAGACGAAAAGCUAGGGGAGCAAAUGGG
rnacentral:rRNA from 1 species